UUUCCGUAGGCGAACCUGCGGAAGGAUCAUUAAUGAGUUGUCAUGGGGUUCGAUGCUGGCAGCCAAUUUUUGGAUGCAUGUGCUUGCCCUAACAAUCAUCUUCCAAACACCUGUGCACAUUUUUGAGGGAGUCUUGAGUUGGUUGCCGCUCUUGGGUGAUUUUCUCACAUUCCCUUAAAUCAUUAUACGCUAUUAACAAUGUUGAACGUGCUCUGUGCCGCAAGGCUAUUAAUAUAAUACAACUUUUAACAACGGAUCUCUUGGCUCUCACAUCGAUGAAGAACGCAGC
rnacentral:misc_RNA from 1 species